UACAGAGGGUGCAAGCGUUGUUCGGAAUUAUUGGGCGUAAAGCGCGUGUAGGCGGCUUUGCAAGUCGGGUGUGAAAGCCCUCGGCUCAACCGAGGAAGUGCGCCCGAAACUGCAGAGCUUGAGUGCCGGAGAGGAUGGCGGAAUUCCCCAAGUAGAGGUGAAAUUCGUAGAUAUGGGGAGGAACACCGGUGGCGGAGGCGGCCAUCUGGACGGUCACUGACGCUGAGACGCGAAAGCGUGGGGAGCAAACAGG
rnacentral:rRNA from 1 species